AGAGUUUGAUCAUGGCUCAGAAUCAACGCUGGCGGCGCGCCUAACACAUGCAAGUCGAACGAGAAAGUGGAGCAAUCCAUAAGUAAAGUGGCGUACGGGUGAGUAACACGUGGAUCAUCUGCCCUUUUGUGGGGAAUACCGCUGGGAAACCGGCGACAAUACCGCAUAAGCCCGAGAGGGGAAAGCAGCAAUGCGCAGAAGGAGGAGUCCGCGGUCGAUUAGUUAGUUGGCGGGGUAAAGGCCCACCAAGACUGUGAUCGAUAGCCGGCCUGAGAGGGCACACGGCCACACUGGCACUGAAACACGGGCCAGACUCCUACGGGAGGCAGCAGUGGGGAAUCUUGCACAAUGGGGGAAACCCUGAUGCAGCGACGCCGCGUGAGCGAUGAAGCCCCUCGGGGUGUAAAGCUCUUUCGGCAGGGAAGAUUAUGACGGUACCUGCAAAAGCAGCUGCGGCUAACUACGUGCCAGCAGCCGCGGUAAUACGUAGGCAGCAAGCGUUGUUCGGAGUUACUGGGCGUAAGGGUGCGUAGGCGGCUUUUUAAGUUUGGUGUGAAAUCUCCCGGCUCAACUGGGAGGGUGCGCCGAAUACUGAGAGGCUAGAGUGUGGGAGAGGAAAGUGGAAUUCCUGGUGUAGCGGUGAAAUGCGUAGAUAUCAGGAGGAACACCGGUGGUGUAAACGGCUUUCUGGACCAUAACUGACGCUGAGGCACGAAAGCGUGGGUAGCAAACAGGAUUAGAUACCCUAGUAGUCC
rnacentral:rRNA from 1 species